AAAGCUAAUAUGUGUAUGUGUUUGUGACCAACAGAUUGUUGAUGAACAGAAAAGAGCACAUUUGUGUGCAUUUGUGACCACAAACAUCACUGCAGGAGAAGAAAUGAUGUUCGACUGCGGAGAUCCUGACUGCCCAUGGAGACAGGUAGCAGGAUGCUUGGUCCAUUACAGACGGAUGGACAACACCCUCAUCAGACAACUACACCCUCCACCCAGGAUCCACUUGGUCUGUCUCUACAUGUCAGAACGAGUAACUUGAGUUACUUCAAUGUGAUGAAAGACUAAACAUAUCUUAAGCAGAAUGAUGAGCAAAUCAGUGGAAGAGCGUCCUACUAUUGAGGAAAGCCUUCAGAAAGUCAAAACUAUGUGCAAAGACUUAUUGUAGAGUUUACAAUAAGCAUUAAAAUGAUUGGAUAUAAGUAUUAGUGUGAAUUUACAGGUUUCGAUCACCAGUCUUAUCAAAUAUCAACCACAAACAGCUACAGCUCAGGAAAGACUUCAGACUUCAGUCUUCGACACAUCAGUAAAUCACUAGUGCCAUUAAAUCAAAACGCAAGAGCCAGAAAGCCCUGGUCAGAAACAGAGAGGAAAGUCAUAGAACACUGUUUCAAGAUCUACUUUGAGGAAAUGAAGGCUCCUGGAAAAGUGGGCUGUGAAAGAUGCAUGAAUGCAAACAGGAUUCUAAAGGACAAUGGAAGAGACUGGAAAACAGUUAAAUACUUUGUGCUCAACAGAAUAAUUUCAGUGAAGAGAAGUUUGGGUCAACAGUACUGAGCCCAUAAACCCUGAGAGCUUGUGAUGUGGAGUAUCAGUGUUGAGUUAUAACUGUGCCGUGACACUGAAGGUCCAUGUACAUGCAGCAUCAGUGCGUCAUAGCAUUGAAAUGAUUGACUACAGCUGUUUUCAGCUCCUGUUUGGGACUCUGUUUUAGACCUGUUAUAACUUUGAUGUAAGCCACUGUAAUUUUGAACUAUUUUAAAA